rnacentral:rRNA from 1 species
ACAGCGCCCGCGGAGCUCGCUCCCGGGGCUACCCUACUCCCGUAGGGUUUAGAGUCGUCGGGCCUCUCGGAGAAGCUCGGUCCUGAACUCCACCCUUGAAUAAACUACCUCUGUUGCUUUGGCGGGCCGCCUCGUGCCAGCGGCUUCGGCUGUUGAGUGCCCGCCAGAGGACCCCAACUCUUGUUUUUAGUGAUGUCUGAGUACUAUAUAAUAGUUAAAACUUUCAACAACGGAUCUCUUGGUUCUGGCAUCGAUGAAGAACGCAGCGAAAUGCGAUAAGUAAUGUGAAUUGCAAAAUUCAGUGAAUCAUCGAAUCUUUGAACGCACAUUGCGCCCUCUGGUAUUCCGGGGGGCAUGCCUGUUCGAGCGUCAUUAUAACCACUCAAGCUCUCGCUUGGUAUUGGGGUUCGCGGUUUCGCGGCCCCUAAAAUCAGUGGCGGUGCCUGUCGGCUCUACGCGUAGUAAUACUCCUCGCGAUUGAGUCCGGUAGGUCUACUUGCCAGCAACCCCUAAUUUUUUUUAAGGUUGACCUCGGAUCAGGUAGGGAUACCCGCUGAACUUAAGCAUAUCAAUAAGCGGA